CUAGCACAAAAUGUAUUUGGCUGCUUCGCUGGCAAAAACUCUCUUAUCUGUAUCAGACAAGGCUGACUCACUAAGAACUAGUGGUAAAACAGACACUGUUAAACCUGAAGUAAAUACAGAGUACUCAGGUGGCGAUAAGCAUUCGGUGGAGAUCAGUUAUCUGACUUUGUUUCCUUCAAAACAACGAGUCGUCUGCAUGGCUAUGUGACUUUUGGAAAGAAGAUCAGGGCUGCGACACUCGAUUUCGAUGAAGUCACUAGUUACGAACUCUUAUCGAGGGGUUAUUCUAGUGCAACUAUUCAUGGUGUUCAUGAUAAGGUCGCGGUUGAAAUGGCUUCUUGGGUCGCUUAGUAGAGGCAUCUUUG